CAAGACAGAACCGAAGCCAGAACUCAGGCUCCUGAGUCACAGCUGACAGAGCUUUCCAUUUUAACUCUCCAUGUUUGUAGAUAUUUGGAUUUCUUUGGGAACAAAGACACUAUGUGAAUAGCUGCCAGCCCACGUACUUGGAGCUGCAUGAGGGCAGGGAUCACAUCUGUUACCUUUGUUUCUCCCACAGUGCUUCAUACAAUAUAAUAUGUAUGGCAGGCCUGUGCCGGAGGCCAUUGUGGGAGACUCUGAGAAGCCAGCUGGUGGGCAAGUCAGGAGGAUGUUCAGCAUCUUUAAAGGCUUCUUCUGGGGACUUCUUUUUAAUUCAAACCAGGGAAGUGUUCCAGGCUUUGCUUCCUACCUUCUGUGUCACACCCUCCCCCCCACCCCCCUACCUAGUUUUCCUGGUUUCAUCCUGUGUCUUCACACAGAAAUUAACCUUGUCAUGCUCAACCAAAAGAAAAUCUACUUAGAAGAACAGUGGGGGAUCAAAGAACAAAGGAAACUGGGACCAAAGCUUGGAAAAAGACAGGAGUUAGAACUGUAGUGGUCUGGGCAUCAGGAACCACAGCGGCUGCCAUGCCACAGGAAGAGCUUGGUUACGGGCUGCCACCAUAGUUGUGUCUCUUCCAUCCUUGAGCACCUGCCAAGUCCAAGCCCA